UAAACUCACUAUAUAUAUUGUGAGAUUCACAUCAACUUUCCACAACCUUCUAUCAAAUCUUUCUGAUCUUUGUCAUGGCUAUUACAUUAUUGUUCAGUUUUCUUUCAGACUACCCAGAUGCUAUUGUUCCUUAUCCUUGGCAAAGAGUUCUAGAUAUCCCGUCGAAUCUUCUUUACUACUAUCACCAUGAGACUGGAUUUGUGAUUUACGAUUUUAGGCCUUUUGUGGAUUUUGGAGAAGGUGUUUUCCUGGAAAAUGAUAUUGGGUUUAGUUUCACAGACGAUGAAGUUGUUGAGCAACUACGCAACAACUAUGAAGAUUUUAUGAACUCUCCGAGUCUUCUUCUUUUUUGUUGUGGAUGCAGUGGUAAAACUUACUAUGGAAUUAUAGAACAACCAGUAGUUCGAUGCCCAUUGUGCAAGGGUAUAACCCUGAUGUUACCAUGAUUUUGUUGCUGAAAAUGAGUUGAUGGAAAGCAAAGAAGUUGUCUAUGGAUUGGCUGAAGGUCUGAGGAAGAACAUUAGAUGGAUUGAAGACUAUAUGAGACUAAAAGUAUUACUGUUAUUUAAUGUAUUAAAGUAUUAGAUGAUGACAUUUGUAUGUUGUCAUUAAUUUAUAUUGCUGUUUAAUGUUUGUC